rnacentral:sRNA from 1 species
AACUAGCUCUCGCGUUAGCGAUUGAAGUGACAUCCUUUUUUUGCUGCCAUAAAUGGCAAAAAAAGAUAUAACGGAAAGCGCGACUUGGU